ACUUAACUGAUCAGCAACCGAUCAGUGUCAUGAAGCAGCCUAAUCCAAGCUCUUUGCCUAACGCAGGGUUAAUACCAAGCCAAGACAAAGGUCCUGAACUAAAGUUGACGUACACGAAAAUAGUGACAAGUAAUCUCCCACCUGAAGAAAAGCCAAAGGACGGGGAAAUAACUGAAACAAUUCAAUAGGACAAAUAUGAAGAAGAGGAGGAAGAUUUCCCAAUAUGGGAACGUGUAAUAUCCAAAAAACAAAAGAUCAGGUCCGUCAAGGGAAGAAACAAAGAUACUCCUAAGAACAGGAACUAGUCUACUGAAGCUGGUGUAUCGUUGCUACAUUUUCAUGGUUCUUUAAACACUUCCCUCUUUUUUUCCGCCAUUUCAAUAUCCAGAGAGGAUUAAGAGUUUACUCUUUCCCAGUUGUUACUUUCAUAAAUACGCACUAGAGGAAGAGGGCAUUUUUUCACUUCAUCUAGUGCUAAAAAAUUUAUUUCUGAAAGUAACAAUUAGGAAAGAGUAAAUUCUUAAUCCUCUCUGGAUAAUUUGGGGGAGAAAUGGGGGAAAAAAGAAGGAAGAAAUGAACCAGAGGUAGCAGUUUUCUCUCCCUUUUGUUUUUUGGGUGCUGAACAUUUAUGUUUGUGUUUGAAAUUUAAGUACUCCCUUUUCUCUGUUACUGUCGCAUAGGCCUUCAUUGGAAUUAAGUUUUGCGUAAUAUUUUUUGCACACUUUUAUCAUGGAUGAAUUAUUUUCCUACUUCUUUCCCACAUCGAUCUGUAAAUCGAUUUAACUUUUAAUGACAAUAAUACUAUAAUAAUUUUUAUAUUAUCGAUGUAAUUUGACAUAUUGUGUGGUUUUACAUUGUCAAAGGGUGUAAAGUUAAACUCUUAGAACUUGUAGCUGAGUCUACUGGUGAAAAGCAACUAGAUGUUGCUGAUAGAGGAACGGUUUUUGUGUUAUGAAGAAGUAUUCUGAAAGCAAAUGAUAAACAAAUUUACAAGAAAAAUAAGAUAAAUUUGCUAAUAAAACAGACCAAAUCACUAUCCGGCAAUUUAAAUCAACCAAAAUUAAGAAAGAUUCAUCAAGUUUAAUCAAAAAACUAUCUUUCAUUGAAAGAAGAUAAUAAGAUUUUGUUCUUGUGAAAUUAAAGAUAAAAAGUCAUUAAAGUGUGUCUUCUUGUGAGUUACCUUUCUCCUUCAUCUUCAUGCUUCAAGCCAUAACCAUGGCUGCUACUUCUAAUGUAGGUUAGUUCCGAAACAGGAAAAAUCACAUACCACCGAUCCUCUGCCACUCGGCCCGCGCUGCUAUCAUUAGGGUGGGUAGGGUGGCGGAGGAAAGAUGGACGAAGGGGGGGAGGGGGCUUU
rnacentral:lncRNA from 1 species